rnacentral:rRNA from 1 species
GGGGAGUACGGCCGCAAGGCUAAAAACUCAAAGGAAUUGACGGGGACCCGCACAAGCGGUGGAUGAUGUGGAUUAAUUCGAUGCAACGCGAAAAAACCUUACCUACCCUUGACAUGUCAGGAAUCCUGGAGAGAUCUGGGGAGUGCUCGCAAGAGAACCUGAACACAGGUGCUGCAUGGCUGUCGUCAGCUCGUGUCGUGAGAUGUUGGGUUAAGUCCCGCAACGAGCGCAACCCUUGUCAUUAAUUGCCAUCAUUCAGUUGGGCACUUUAAUGAGACUGCCGGUGACAAACCGGAGGAAGGUGGGGAUGACGUCAAGUCCUCAUGGCCCUUAUGGGUAGGGCUUCACACGUCAUACAAUGGUCGGUUCAGAGGGUUGCCAACCCGCGAGGGGGAGCCGAAUCUCAGAAGCCGAUCGUAGUCCGGAUCGCAGUCUGCAACUCGACUGCGUGAAGUCGGAAUCGCUAGUAACGCGACGACACGUACGACGUACGUCGGUCGGUACGGUAAGUAACCGUUACC